CACAUACUCCCUCUGUUCCAAAUUACUUGUCGCAGAAAUGGAUAUAUCUAAAACUAAAAUACAUCUAGAUAUAUCCAUACCUGCGACAAGUAAUUCGGAACGGAGGGAGUAUAUG
rnacentral:pre_miRNA from 1 species